GAUUAUCAACUUUCGAUGGUAGGAUAGAGGCCUUACCAUGGUGGUAACGGGUAACGGGGUGUUAGGGCACGACACCGGAGAGGGAGCCUGAGAAACGGCUACCACAUCCAAGGAUGGCAGCAGGCGCGCAAAUUACCCAAUCCCGACACGGGGAGGUAGUGACAAUAAAUAACAAUACGGGGUUCUUUCGGAUUUCGUAAUUGGAAUGAGUACAAUUUAAAUCUCUUAACGAGGAACAAUUGGAGGGCAAGUCUGGUGCCAGCAGCCGCGGUAAUUCCAGCUCCAAUAGCGUAUAUUAAAGUUGCUGCAGUUAAAAAGCUCGUAGUUGAAUUUCGGGAUCAAUAUGUUGGUCGUGCCUCGGUACGUACUAGCUUAUUGGUUUCUCCCUUCUGACGAACCAUGAUGUCAUUUAUUUGGUGUUAUGGGAAAUCAGGACUGUUACUUUGAAAAAAUUAGAGUGUUUAAAGCAGGCUCACGCUUGAAUACAUUAGCAUGGAAUAAUGAAAUAGGACGUUUGAUUCUAUUUUGUUGGUUUCUAGGAUCGACGUAAUGAUUAAUAGGGAUAGUUGGGGGCAUUAGUAUUCAAUUGUCAGAGGUGAAAUUCUUGGAUUUAUUGAAGACUAACUACUGCGAAAGCAUUUGCCAAGGAUGUUUUCAUUAAUCAAGAACGAAAGUUAGGGGAUCGAAGACGAUCAGAUACCGUCGUAGUCUUAACCAUAAACUAUGCCGACUAGGGAUCGGAUGAUGCUAAUUUUUUAAUGACUCAUUCGGCGCCUUACGGGAAACCAAAGUGUUUGGGUUC
rnacentral:rRNA from 1 species